AUGGCCAGCACGGCCGAGCCGUCCUCCUCGCCCUACUCCUCGUCGGCGCCCGACGCGGACAUCCUCCGCUCCCUGCGCCGCCUGGCGCGCGACCUGGCCGCCGCCGCCCCGCCGGCGCCGUUCCUCCGGGCCGUCUUCGCGUCCGUGUCCCGCCGGGCGCGCCUCCUCGUCGCCGUGUUUGACGACCUGCUGCUCGCGCUGGGCGCGGGCGCCGGGAUGCCAAGGUCCGCCUCGCUCUGCCUCCGCGAGGUGCUGCUCGUGCUGCAGCGCUUCAAGGCCGUCGUGGCCGACUGCUCCGCGCGCAGCCGCAUGCGCCUGCUGCUCCAGUCCGACGAGGUCGCCGCGCGCGUGCGCGAGCUGCAGCACGACCUCGCCACGCUGCUCGAUAUUCUCCCCGUUGGCGAGCUCGGGCUUGCUGACGACGUGGCCGACCUCCUCACGCUCGCGUCGCGCCAGUGCCGGCGCCCCGCGCCCGAGGCCGCGGCCGAGCAGGAGCUCAAGGCCAGCGUGCUGGCGCUCAUACAGGAGGUCGAGCGGGAGAUCGUGCCGGAGAGGGAGCGCCUGGAGGCCAUCCUCGAGGAGGUGGCCAUCAACGACCCCGCCAGCUGCAGCCAGGAGAUCGAGAUCUUGGAGCGCGAGAUCGGCGACCGGCUGGCGGAGCGGUGGACGUCGGCCAUGAUUGCCCUCGUCGGCCUCCUCCGGUACGCCAAGUGCGUCCUCUUCAGCGCUGCCACGCCGCGGCCGCUGGACUCCAAGGUGGACGCUGACGACGAUGACGCCGAGCCUCUGGCGCCGCCGCCGGACUUCCGCUGCCCCAUCUCUCUCGACCUGAUGCGCGACCCCGUUGUGUCCUCCAGUGGCCAGACGUACGACCGCGAGUCCAUUACGCGGUGGUUCGGCGCCGGCAAGUCGACGUGCCCCAAGACCGGCCAGGUGCUGACUAAUCUGGAGCUCGUGCCCAACAAGGCGCUCAAGAACUUGAUCUCGCGGUGGUGCCGGGAGAAUGGCGUCGCCAUGGAAGGCAGCGAGCCUGGCAAGCCCGAGCCGGCGCCACCGGUGGCCGCAAACAAGGCCGCGGUGGAGGCUGCGCGCAUGACCGCGUCGUUUCUGGUGAAGAAGCUCUCGGCCUCGUUCUCCCCUGGUUCGGACAACCGCGUGGUGCACGAGAUCCGUCUGCUCGCCAAGUCCGGCUCCGAGAGCCGCGCGUUCAUCGGAGAGGCCGGCGCCGUGCCGCUCCUCGUGCCGCUGCUCAACUCCGAGGACGCCGCGCUGCAGCUCAACGCCGUGACGGCGCUGCUCAACCUCUCCAUUCUCGAUGCCAACAAGAAGCGCAUCAUGCACACCGACGGCGCGGUGGCGGCCCUCUGCGAAGUGAUGGGCUCCGGCGCGACAUGGCGGGCGAAGGAGAACGCCGCCGCCACCGUGCUCAGCCUGUCCGCCGUCCAUACGUACCGCCGCCGGCUCGGCCGGAACCCACUUGUGAUCGAGAAGGUCGUGCUCCUGGUGCGCACGGGCCCUCCGAGCACCAAGAAGGACGCUCUCGCCGCGCUGCUGUGCCUGUCCGCGGAGAGGGAGAACGUUGGCAAGCUGGUGGGCGCGGGCGCCGCGGAGGCGGCACUGUCGGCGAUCAGCGAGGAGGAGACCGCGGCGGCGGUGCUGGCGUCGCUGGCCAAGCGCGGCGGGGCGGAGGCGAUCGUGAACAUCGACGGCGCCGUGGCGAAGCUGGUGGCCGAGAUGCGGCGCGGCACGGAGUGGUCGCGGGAGUGCGCGGCGGCGGCGCUGGUGCUGCUGUGCCGGCGCGCGGGGGCCGCGGCGGCGGCGCAGGUGCUGGCGAUCAGCGGCGUGGAGUGGGCGAUCUGGGAGCUCAUGGGCAGCGGCUCGGAGCGGGCGCGCCGGAAGGCCGCGUCGCUCGGCAGGACGUGCCGACGCUGGGCGGCCGCCAACGCGGCGCAGAACGCGGACUGCCCCGCCUCAACCGUCUCGCCGCCGACCGUGGCGGCGUCGUGA
rnacentral:rRNA from 1 species